rnacentral:rRNA from 1 species
GUUGUUCGGAAUCACUGGGCUUAAAGGGCGCGUAGGCGGGCGGUUAAGUCUGCGGUGAAAUCUCCAGGCUCAACCUGGAGGGGUCAUUCGAUACUGCCAUGACUAGAGGUCGGUAGGGGAGUGUGGAAUUCCUGGUGGAGCGGUGAAAUGCGCAGAUAUCAGGAGGAACACCCGUAGCGAAGGCGGCACUCUGGGCCGAUUCUGACACUGAGGAGCGAAAGCGUGGGUAGCAAACAGG